rnacentral:rRNA from 1 species
UACACGCUGUGACUAGCAUAUCAAUAAGCGGAGGAAAAGAAACUAACAAGGAUUCCCCUAGUAACGGCGAGUGAAGCGGGAAGAGCUCAAAUUUGAAAUCUUAAAGGGUUUCCCUUUACGAAUUGUAGUUUAAAGAAGUGUUUUCUGUUGAGGUUUUGGUAAAAGUUCUUUGGAAUAGGACAUCAUAGAGGGUGAGAAUCCCGUAUUUGACCUUUACUUUCAACUUUGUGAUACACUUUCAAAGAGUCGGAUUGUUUGGGAAUGCAGUCCAAAAUGGGUGGUAAAUUUCAUCUAAAGCUAAAUAUUGGCGAGAGACCGAUAGCGAACAAGUACCGUGAGGGAAAGAUGAAAAGAACUUUGAAAAGAGAGUUAAACAGUACGUGAAAUUGUCAAAAGGGAAGCGUUUGACACCAGUGUUGUUUUUCUGAAAAUCAAUUAAAGAACUGUUUACUGCUAAGUUGUUUAGACUUUAUCAGCUAUCUGUUUAGUUUUGAGCUUUUCUUUAAUGCACUUUUCAGUUAACAAGUCAACAUCAAUUUCUUUUGCUGUAAAAAAGCUUGAGGAAGGUGGCUUGAGAUUCGUCUUAAGUGUUUAUAGCCUCUUGCCUAUGCAGUCGGAGAGAUUGAGGUCUGCAGCGUAGAUCCUUCGGGGCUAAAUGCAUUUGUGCUAAGUUAUAGCAUUUUAUAGACAACUUGUUGACUAUGAUUUGUCUUGUAGCUUACUCGCUUAUGUUAUUUUACCUACGCUUAGGAUGUUGAUAUGCAUGACUGAUAU